AGUGGAGCCUGCGGCUUAAUUUGACUCAACACGGGAAACCUCACCAGGCCCGGACACCGGAAUGAUUGACAGAUUGAGAGCUCUUUCUUGAUUCGGUGGGUGGUGGUGCAUGGCCGUUCUUAGUUGGUGGAGCGAUUUGUCUGGUUAAUUCCGAUAACGAACGAGACUCUAGCCUGCUAACUAGGCGUAUUUCGACAUCCCAAAGGCCCGCCGGUUCGGGGUUUCGGUCCCUUAUCGCGCGCGGUUUUUACUGUCGGCGUACAAACAAUUCUUCUUUUAGGGACAGGCGGCAUUUAGCCGCACGAGAUUGAGCAAUAACAGGUCUGUGAUGCCCUUAGAUGUUCUGGGCCG
rnacentral:rRNA from 1 species